AAAUCGCUUAACUUUUUUUGAAUUUGUUAACUUCACACUAUUCCCUUUUAUCUUUGCAGGGGGGGUCGUCUCCAUUUCAAUCUCAGCUUCCUUCAUCUGUUCCUCUUGGGGUGUCAAGAUUGAUUCUUCAUCAAUACAACUAUUUCCUCGCUUCUGGGGACUUCUUUCUUCAAUCAGAAUUAGUUCUCGAGCUGAGGAGGGCAGGUACCGGAGAUAAGGGGGUUUCAAGCACUACAUCUACAUCAUCAGGAGGAAUUUCCUUCUUUCCAUAGAAUAUUUGGCCAUAAGGGCUUAAAGCCUUCACCUCAGCAUGCAGCCAAUCCCCGCAUUUAGCCGGUGUUGUUUCCCUUUUUCCUCGAGCUUUACUUCAACAACUGUUCCUAGUUUGGAGGCUAUUUCUUCUAUCACAUCAUAGGUAACUCUCCCAUAAGGUUCGCACUGCCUAAGGAUAAGGAGGUGGCUGGAGAAUGACCAAGGUCCCGAUUGGAGCACUCUCCGAGCCUCUGCUUCCGAAUGAAAGGAGAAAGAGAAGAAACCUGGUUCCAGUGUUGCGCAGGGGUGGAUUUCUGUAUAGCUCGUGGUUUUAUGGAGUUUUGGGUUGUUGGUUUGUGAAUUUGUGGGUUGAAGGGAGCUCAGAAGAGUGAAUCAGAAGAGUGAUGAGUAGUGAGGAGAUGGCAGAAAUUAGGGUUUUGAAACUGUCGCAAUGGGGAGCGUGGUUAGACGCCGCAACGCCCAAAGAUUAGCGGGAGGGGGGAGCGAAGAAUCAAAGCAAACAGAGGUUUCAAGAUGGAAUUUGAGUGAAUCUGCAAGGAACUACCCAUUUGGUAGAGGGGGACUACACAUUCGGUAGAGAGGAAGCUCCAUGGCGGAAGUUGGUAAUUUCGCACGGGAGUUUGGUUUAUUUUGAUGACGGUUUUGUAAGUUAUUAGAAAUGUGUUCACGAUUCGGAAUUAGAUAAAAGAAAACACUAGCAAGAGGGACAAA